AAAUCUACCCUCUUUAGUCUUACAUACAAGUCUCUCCAUGGCCAAAUCCCUAUUGGCCCUUCAGCUUUGACUUUUAUUAUACCUUUACCUUAACACUAAGCUCCAGAAACCCUAUGCUAUUCUCUGUACACUCAGUUUGCUCCAUGCUUUGGAAUCUUUCCUCUCUCUGGGGUUCCAUCUCUCCUUGUGUGCCUUUUAAUUCCUACUUCAGAUUUCACUUUAAGUAUCAUCUUCCCUGGGAAGUUUUCCCAGACUCUCCCCACUGCCUUUGCUGAGCUGAUCCUGUGUGUUUUGCUGCUGAAUUUUGGUGUAUGAUCACCCUCCUUUAGCCAUCUCUCUGAUGGCAGUGAGCUCCAUGUGGUCAGUACCAUUAUCUGGCCCAUCCUGGGACCCAGAGAAAGCACAAAGGAGGGCAUAACCCGGUCUCACCAAAUACCUGUUGAUUGAUUGGACAAAGGUGACCGCGAGUGGUUCUGGGACUUGGCUACGGGAACCAUGAAGGAGCGUUCCUGGCCAGCUGUUGGGAACUGCUCCUCUGCCCUGAGAUGGCUGGGCCGCUACUACUGCUUCCAGGGUAACCAAUUCCUGCGCUUCGACCCUGUCAGGGGAGAGGUGCCUCCCAGGUACCCGCGGGAUGUCCGAGACUACUUCAUGCCCUGCCCUGGCAGAGGCCAUGGACACAGGAAUGGGACUGGCCAUGGGAACAGUACCCACCAUGGCCCUGAGUAUAUGCGCUGUAGCCCACAUCUAGUCUUGUCUGCACUGACGUCUGACAACCAUGGUGCCACCUAUGCCUUCAGUGG
rnacentral:sRNA from 1 species